rnacentral:rRNA from 1 species
AUUGAACGCUGGCGGCAUGCCUUACACAUGCAAGUCGAACGGUAACGGGUCCUUCGGGAUGCCGACGAGUGGCGAACGUGUGAGUAAUAUAUCGGAACGUGCCCAGUAGUGGGGGAUAACUGCUCGAAAGAGCAGCUAAUACCGCACACGACCUGAGGGUGAAAGGGGGGGAUCGCAAGACCUCUCGCUAUUGGAGCGGCCGAUAUCAGAUUAGCUAGUUGGUGGGGUAAAGGCCUACCAAGGCAACGAUCUGUAGUUGGUCUGAGAGGACGACCAGCCACACUGGGACUGAGACACGGCCCAGACUCCUACGGGAGGCAGCAGUGGGGAAUUUUGGACAAUGGGCGCAAGCCUGAUCCAGCAAUGCCGCGUGCAGGAAGAAGGCCUUCGGGUUGUAAACUGCUUUUGUCAGGGAAGAAAUCUUCUGGGCUAAUACCCCGGGAGGAUGACGGUACCUGAAGAAUAAGCACCGGCUAACUACGUGCCAGCAGCCGCCGUAA